rnacentral:rRNA from 1 species
GACGAACGCUGGCGGCGUGCCUAAUACAUGCAAGUCGAACGCAGUGGGGACGGGUGAGUAACAAGUGGUUAACCUCCCAUCAAUGGGGAAAACACUUGGAAACAGGUGCUAAACCGAUACUGAUGGAUGGAACGGCGGUGCAUUAGCUAGUUGGUGGGGUAACGGCUCACCAAGGCAACGAUGCAUAGCAGCCCGUAGAGGGGGAUCGGCCAACUUGGUACUGUGACACGGCCCAGACUCCUACGGGAGGCAGCAGUAGGGAAUCUUCGUCAAUGGACGUAAGUCGGACCGAGCAACGCCGCGUGAGUGAAGAAGGUUUGCGGAUCGUAAAACUCUGUUGUUAGAGAAGCGGUAUUUAACCAGAAAGCCACGGCUAACUACGUGCCAGCAGCCGCGGUAAUAC